AACGAACGCUGGCGGCAUGCUUAAUACAUGCAAGUCGAACGAGAAAGUACCUUCGGGUGCGAGUAUAGUGGCGCACGGGUGAGUAACACGUAGGUGACCUGCCUUUUAGUUUGGGAUAACCAGUGGAAACGCUGGCUAAUACCGGGUAUUCAUUGCUUUUUGAAGAUAGCAUUGCAAAGGGGGCUUCGGCUCUCGCUAGAAGAUGGGCCUGCGGGGCAUUAGCUUGUUGGUGGGGUAAUGGCCUACCAAGGCGAUGAUGUCUAGCUGGUCUGAGAGGAUGAUCAGCCACACUGGAACUGAGACACGGUCCAG
rnacentral:rRNA from 1 species